rnacentral:rRNA from 1 species
GAUGAACGCUGGCGGCGUGCCUAAUACAUGCAAGUCGAGCGAACGGACGAGAAGCUUGCUUCUCUGAUGUUAGCGGCGGACGGGUGAGUAACACGUGGAUAACCUACCUAUAAGAUUGGGAUAACUUCGGGAAACCGUAGCUAAUACCGGAUAAUAUUUUGAACCGCAUGGUUCAAAAGUGAAAGACGGUCUUGCUGUCACUUAUAGAUGGAUCCGCGCUGCAUUAGCUAGUUGGUAAGGUAACGGCUUACCAAGGCAACGAUGCAUAGCCGACCUGAGAGGGUGAUAGGCCACACUGGAACUGAGACACGGUCCAGACUCCUACGGGAGGCAGCAGUAGGGAAUCUUCCGCAAUGGGCGAAAGCCUGACGGAGCAACGCCGCGUGAGUGAUGAAGGUCUUCGGAUCGUAAAACUCUGUUAUUAGGGAAGAACAUAUGUGUAAGUAACUGUGCACAUCUUGACGGUACCUAAUCAGAAAGCCACGGCUAACUACGUG